GAACGCCCUCGGGUUUUUCGGAACGCGAGGGAGUGGCGGACGGGUGAGUAACACAUGGGUGACCUAGCCCCAGGUGAGGGAUACCGGCGAGAAAUCGCCGACAAGCCCGCAUAGGCUCUUUCUGGUAGAGCGGAGAGAGCAAAGGGUGCUCGCAAGAGCAGUCGCGUGGGGAUGGGCCUGUGGCCGAUUAGCUAGUUGGGAGGGUAAGAGCCUCCCAAGGCGACGAUCGGUAGCUGGUCUGAGAGGACGAACAGCCACACUGGGAUUGAGAACGGCCCAGACUCCUACGGGGGGCAGCAGUGAGGAAUUUUCCGCAAUGGGCGCAAGCCUGACGGAGCAACGCCGCGUGCAGGAGGACGCUUUUCGGAGUGUAAACUGCUGUGCUGUGGGACGAGAGAGGACGGUACCACAGGAGCAAGCCCCGGCUAACUACGUG
rnacentral:rRNA from 1 species